GACGAACGCUGGCGGCGUGCCUAAUACAUGCAAGUUGAGCGCUGAAGGUUGGUACUUGUACCAACUUGAUGAGCAGCGAACGGGUGAGUAACGCGUGGGGAAUCUGCCUUUGAGCGGGGGACAACAGUUGGAAACGAAUGCUAAUACCGCAUAAAAACUUUAAACACAAGUUUUAAGUUUGAAAGAUGCAAUUGCAUCACUCAAAGAUGAUCCCGCGUUGUAUUAGCUAGUUGGUGAGGUAAAGGCUCACCAAGGCGAUGAUACAUAGCCGACCUGAGAGGGUGAUCGGCCACAUUGGGACUGAGACACGGCCCAAACUCCUACGGGAGGCAGCAGUAGGGAAUCUUCGGCAAUGGACGAAAGUCUGACCGAGCAACGCCGCGUGAGUGAAGAAGGUUUUCGGAUCGUAAAACUCUGUUGGUAGAGAAGAACGUUGGUGAGAGUGGAAAGCUCAUCAAGUGACGGUAACUACCCAGAAAGGGACGGCUAACUACGUG
rnacentral:rRNA from 1 species